rnacentral:piRNA from 1 species
UGAUUCUUCUCUAGUAGCUGGCUGC